CAUAGCUUGCAGGAAUUGGUCUCCUCCAAAUGUGCCACCCGAAAAUUCUUAAACUACCAUCGGCAUCACCUCUACAUCGAUGAUGUCAGCUUCAACUUUAUUGAACUGAUAUCCAUUCCAAACUUGCCUGACACCACAUGUAAGAAAAUUGCUGAAUGAUUCUCAGUAUCACAGAUAUGAAGCCAUCAGUUCUUCUUACCAAGUACAACACUCCAAAUGCGUAAUGGUUCAUCCUUUCUUCUUAAUGAUAACUGCCUCAAAUAUUGAUUUGAGAGAAAAUCAGCAACCAACACAAAAGAACUACUAGUAGGUACUCUGCAGCAUCUAUCGAGGCCAAUUAUAACUACCAAGGCACUCUGCUGGCAAUGCUGUUGAUCUCAGAUCCUGGUUGACAGACGAUGAAAUGGAUCCCAUAUAGAUGACAACACCUAAAAAGCACCAUGAGUAAAAGGACAGAACUUACAAAAGUUUCAGCACCAGAAGGGGAAUCCACAAAGACAAUAAACUAACCGUGUGAUGUCUUCAUCUUCUGUACUAUAAUAUACUUGCCUCCUUACAGCUUAGCUUAUGAAGAUUCACAAAGGAGACCUGGAAUCUUACCCACAAACUUUUGCAAUUAAGAAAAGGUUGGAAGGGGAGACGAGGACUGAAGGACAUAUGUAAUAAAUAAAUGCAGAAAUAGGAGAUAAGGAUAUAACUAAAGGAACAUGAGAAUUAUUUGAUACAAGGACAAAAGCAAAG
rnacentral:lncRNA from 1 species